rnacentral:rRNA from 1 species
UCUAUACUAUAGAGUUUGAUCAUGGCUCAGAUUGAACGCUGGCGGCAUGCCUUACACAUGCAAGUCGAACGGCAGCGCGGAAUGGGGCAACCCGGCCUGGCGGCGAGUGGCGAACGGGUGAGUAAUAUAUCGGAACGUACCCUGGAGUGGGGGAUAACGUAGCGAAAGUUACGCUAAUACCGCAUACGAUCUAAGGAUGAAAGUGGGGGAUCGCAAGACCUCAUGCUCCUGGAGCGGCCGAUAUCUGAUUAGCUAGUUGGUAGGGUAAAAGCCUACCAGGCAUCGAUCAGUAGCUGGUCUGAGAGGACGACCAGCCACACUGGAACUGAGACACGGUCCAGACUCCUACGGGAGGCAGCAGUGGGGAAUUUUGGACAAUGGGCGCAAGCCUGAUCCAGCAAUGCCGCGUGAGUGAAGAAGGCCUUCGGGUUGUAAAGCUCUUUUGUCAGGGAAGAAACGGAUCUUUCUAAUACAGAGGUCUAAUGACGGUACCUGAAGAAUAAGCACCGGCUAACUACGGUGCCAGGCAGCCGCGGUAAU